rnacentral:rRNA from 1 species
UACGUAGGUCCCGAGCGUUGUCCGGAUUUAUUGGGCGUAAAGCGAGCGCAGGUGGUUUAUUAAGUCUGGUGUAAAAGGCAGUGGCUCAACCAUUGUAUGCAUUGGAAACUGGUAGACUUGAGUGCAGGAGAGGAGAGUGGAAUUCCAUGUGUUGCGGUGAAAUGCGUAGAUAUAUGGAGGAACACCGGUGGCGAAAGCGGCUCUCUGGCCUGUAACUGACACUGAGGCUCGAAAGCGUGGGGAGCAAACAGG